AAUGAACGCUGGCGGCAGGCCUAACACAUGCAAGUCGAACGAGUGGCGGACGGGUGAGUAAUGACUGGGAAACUGCCUGAGGGUGGGGGCUAACUACUGGAAACGGUCGCUAAUACCGCAUACGAGCGGAUGUGCCGAGAUGGGAUUAGCUAGUAGGCGGGGUAACGGCGCACCAAGGCGACGAUCCCUAGCUGGUCUGAGAGGAUGACCAGCCACACUGGAACGGAGACACGGGCCAGACGCCUACGGUAGGCAGCCGGGGGGAAUAUGGGACAAUGGGCGCAAGCCUGAUGCAGCCAGUCCGCGUGUAUGAAGAAGGCCUUCGGGGUGUAAAGGUCUUUCGUCGGGGAAGCGUUACCCACAGAAUAAGCACCGGCUAACUCCGUGCCAGCAGCCGCGGUAAUUC
rnacentral:rRNA from 1 species